AUAAUUGUUGUGAUGAAAUUGAUGGCUCCUAAGAUAGAGGAGAUACCUGCUAGGUGUAAGGAGAAGAUGGUUAGGUCUACGGAGGCUCCAGGGUGGGAGUAGUUCCCUGCCAAGGGAGGGUAGACUGUUCAACCUGUUCCUGCGCCGGCCUCCACUAUAGCAGAUGCAAGCAGGAGUAGGAGAGAGGGGGGUAAGAGUCAGAAGCUUAUGUUGUUUAUGCGGGGAAACGCCAUAUCGGGGGCACCGAUUAUUAGGGGAACUAGUCAGUUGCCAAAGCCUCCGAUUAUGAUGGGUAUUACUAUGAAGAAGAUUAUUACAAAUGCAUGGGCUGUGACGAUAACGUUGUAGAUGUGGUCGUUACCUAGAAGGUUGCCUGGCUGGCCCAGUUCGGCUCGAAUAAGGAGGCUUAGAGCUGUGCCUAGGACUCCAGCUCAUGCGCCGAAUAAUAGACCUUAGUUUAGGUAUUGGGGCCAAAGGAUGGAUGACCAUUUCAAACGAUCCAGGCUAAGCCAGGAGGAGAGCUCAAAGUCUGAUCUGGGCUGGACUCUUGGUCUGUCGUCCAGGAUAGAGGGCAGGGAUGCCAUCACUACUCACUAUAACCUCAAACUCCUGGGCUCAAGCAAUCCUCCCACCUCAGCCUCCGGAGUAGCUGGGACUACAGCUCUGCUGCCCCCUGCCCCAUACACGUGAUGGAGCAGAAAACGUGCUGUGUGAACCUGUGACUUCAGGGCCUGUUGACGUGGUCGUGCUUGCAUACUCUCUGGACUGGACCUCACUGUGGGAACAACAAGAUCAACAAGAGGAGCAAGAACAACAUCAAGAGUCAGGGCCCGGGGGUCCUGACGGGUACAGGAUGGGUACAGACCCACACAGGAAUCCCAGAGUGUGUUCCACAGCAGGACACGCCUGCGCUGAAAGAGUGGGCAGAAAGGAGCUGACCUGGGAUUAUGAUCCAAACUCAGCUGGGCCUCCCCUACCUGCCCCAGGAUUGUGGAGUGAGAACGUUGCAGCAGGGGAGAACAACGCAGCAAAGCACAGCAGGGGAACCGGAAAUGCUCACCCUUUGACAGGACCAAACCAAUGCACAACUCCUACGUACUGAUGGUGGUCUUACGUUUCCCUAAGUUUCUGCCGACUAAACUGUGCACACGUUCUCAGGACCUCCUGAAGCUGCGUCACAGGCGCUGAUCAAAGAACACAACCAAGGUGAGUGUCAAUCAUUUCAAGAAAUCUAUUUGCAAGGUUAAGGACACACCUGAGAAAAGAACAGAGAACCACAGGAAAAACUGUGGUCCGUGCUUUUCCCAAAGAUUGUCUGGGGGCCUCAGUAAGUAAAGGGGAAAAGUGCGGGUAUUGGGGAAAGGGGAAGAAGUGGAAAAAAUGGGUGUGGGUAAAUCAGAGGCAAAUGGUUGCAUUCUUCUGUCUUUGGUCAGUGUUCACUGAAUACACAUUUUACAUGCGAGGGAGGUAGAGGCAGGGAUGUAGCUUUUUUAUCUUUGUGUAAUAGCUAUCUUAUUUAGGAACCAGAUGGGAAGCAGGUUUGCAUAAGCCAGUUCCCAGCUUGGCUUUUCCCUUUGGCUUAGUGAGUCUGGGGUCCCAGGAUUUAUUUUCCGUUCUCACAGGUUGUGGUCCUCACAUUUGGCUCAAAAUAUUCAAAAUUUUUUCCAGAGUUUGGCCUUUUCUUCAGCACUGGGAAUUGUGAUCCAAAGCUUUUCCUGAUGAGGCACAAAGUUGGAGAAACAAAACGCAAACUAAGCAACAAUGAAACAGAACAGAGUGAAUCUGCUGUAGCUCAAGAGAGGACGUAGCUGCCCCCACCCCGCAUCCCCGGGCUCGGGUUUGCCUUGCUGACCUCUGCUGCCACCUGGUGCCGCACAGAGAAACUGAGGAGAAACCACAUCAGUCUCCUUCAGCCUCAGCUUCACAUCUGUGGGUCAAGCAACCCUUUCAGAAGCUGAAUAAUGUGGGAAAGCUUUCCUCUCAGGAAAAUGCACACAUCCAACUUUGAGA
rnacentral:lncRNA from 1 species